rnacentral:siRNA from 1 species
GAUUACGGUGGCGGCCUA